UUGACGGGGCCCGCACAAGCGGCGGAGCAUGCGGAUUAAUUCGAUGCAACGCGAAGAACCUUACCAAGGCUUGACAUACACCGGUAACGCCCAGAGAUGGGUGCCCCUUUGUGGUCGGUGGACAGGUGGUGCAUGGUUGUCGUCAGCUCGUGUCGUGAGAUGUUGGGUUAAGUCCCGCAACGAGCGCAACCCCUAUCUCUAGUUGCCAGCGAUUCGGUCGGGGACUCUAGAGAUACUGCCCCGGUUAACGGGAGGAAGGUGGGGAUGACGUCAAGUCCUCAUGGCCCUUAUGCCCAGGGCUACACACGUGCUACAAUGGGCGGUACAAAGGGUAGCGAUGCCGCGAGGUGAAGCCAAUCCCAAAAGCCGUCCACAGUUCGGAUUGGAGUCUGCAACUCGACUCCAUGAAGCCGGAAUCGCUAGUAAUCGUGGAUCAGCAUGCCACGGUGAAUACGUUCCCGGGCCUU
rnacentral:rRNA from 1 species